rnacentral:rRNA from 1 species
AGUGAACGCUGGCGAUAGGCCUAACACAUGCAAGUCGAACGGCAGCACAGUAAGAGCUUGCUCUUACGGGUGGCGAGUGGCGGACGGGUGAGGAAUACAUCGGAAUCUACUUUUUCGUGGGGGAUAACGUAGGGAAACUUACGCUAAUACCGCAUACGACCUACGGGUGAAAGCAGGGGAUCUUCGGACCUUGCGCGAUUGAAUGAGCCGAUGUCGGAUUAGCUAGUUGGCGGGGUAAAGGCCCACCAAGGCGACGAUCCGUAGCUGGUCUGAGAGGAUGAUCAGCCACACUGGAACUGAGACACGGUCCAGACUCCUACGGGAGGCAGCAGUGGGGAAUAUUGGACAAUGGGCGCAAGCCUGAUCCAGCCAUACCGCGUGGGUGAAGAAGGCCUUCGGGUGGUAAAGCCCUUUUGUUGGGAAAGAAAAGCAGCAGGUUAAUACCCCGCUGUUCUGACGGUACCCAAAGAAUAAGCACCGGCUAACUUCGU